AAAAGCAUCUUUUAUCCUGAAUAUAGUGUGUCCUUAAGAUUUCACAAUGGAGUUUUAAAUGUUGAAGAUGUACUUACCAGUUUUGACAACACAGGGAAUGUCUAUAACUGAACUUGAAGAAUAAAGCUGGGGGUCUCUGAAAGUUUGCCAAAUACACAAGAAAUGUGCAUGUGUGUCUUCCUCCCUGUCAAAGCUAUGGCAUAAAUCCAGUUCUGAGAUUGAAAGUUUCCUCUCAAACUCCAGUCUUUGUACUCCAGAGUUAAGUUUCAGUAAACAUUGGAAUUUUAUUACUAAGAAAAGGUCAAUUUGUUAAAGAAAUUUUUUCAAAAUAUAUUCUUGAGCUGUUUUCUAAUGGGAAUGUGUGUUGGAUUUGAUUAAUAUCUAAGGGCUAUAUAAGUAUUCAAGGGAAUGACAUUCUUUACUACUAAUAAUAAACAGCUUACUAAUGUUCUGCAUGUUUGUUUUCACUCCCACAUCAGAUAUUUAUGGAGAAGAAAAAAUGUUGUGAUGCAGAUUAUUAGAUUAUGAAAUAUGUGUAUUAAAUACUUGUAGAGAAAAUCUUUU